UACGGGGGGAGCAAGCGUUGUUCGGAUUUACUGGGCGUAAAGGGCGCGUAGGCGGUCGUGACAAGUCACUUGUGAAAUCUCCGGGCUUAACUCGGAACGGUCAAGUGAUACUGUCGGACUAGAGUACAGAAGGGGCAACUGGAAUUCUCGGUGUAGCGGUGAAAUGCGUAGAUAUCGAGAGGAACACCUGCGGCGAAGGCGGGUUGCUGGGCUGAUACUGACGCCGAGGCGCGAAAGCAUGGGGAGCGAACAGG
rnacentral:rRNA from 1 species